rnacentral:rRNA from 1 species
AUGCGUAGGCGUUUUGUUAAGUCUUUUGUUAAAGACCUCAGCUUACCUGAGGGAGUGCAGAGGAUACUGGCAGAAUCGAGGAAAUCAGAGGAGAGUGGAAUUCACCGAGGACUAGUGAAAUGGGUUGAUACGGUGAGGAACAUCAAUGGCGUAGGCAGCUCUCUGGGAUUUUUCUGACGCUAAGGCUCGAAAGCGUGGGAUCAAAAC